rnacentral:lncRNA from 1 species
AGAGGCAUGGUUGAGGAUAAUGUGCGGUGUUGGAUGUCAAAACCAUGUAUUUUUGAGCUACAAGUGAAAUCUAUGGAUUCUAAUUUAAGGAGAUGUUCCUAAGGGUUCCUUAUGUAUGCAUACAAAUUUUGGAGUUGUUUGGUGUCUGUUUGGAUAGGGGCUUGACUUAGCCAAGGUUAAGUGGCAUUGUCAUAAUUUGCUGAUUGGUCCAAAGGUAAUAACUCAUUCCAUGAGUAUGGGAAUGGGAUGGA